GAUGAACGCUGGCGGCGUGCCUAAUACAUGCAAGUCGAGCGAACAGACGAGGAGCUUGCUCCUCUGACGUUAGCGGCGGACGGGUGAGUAACACGUGGAUAACCUACCUAUAAGACUGGGAUAACUUCGGGAAACCGGAGCUAAUACCGGAUAACAUGUUGAACCGCAUGGUUCAACAGUGAAAGACGGUCUUGCUGUCACUUAUAGAUGGAUCCGCGCCGCAUUAGCUAGUUGGUAAGGUAACGGCUUACCAAGGCAACGAUGCGUAGCCGACCUGAGAGGAUGAUCGGCCACACUGGAACUGAGACACGGUCCAGACUCCUACGGGAGGCAGCAGUAGGGAAUAUUCCGCAAUGGGCGAAAGCCUGACGGAGCAACGCCGCGUGAGUGAAGAAGGUCUUCGGAUCGUAAAACUCUGUUAUUAGGGAAGAACAAAUGUGUAAGUAACUAUGCACGUCUUGACGGUACCAAAUCAGAAAGCCACGGCUAACUACGUG
rnacentral:rRNA from 1 species